AGAGCGAACGCUGGCGGCAGGCUUAACACAUGCAAGUCGAGCGGGCGUAGCAAUACGUCAGCGGCAGACGGGUGAGUAACACGUGGGAACGUACCUUUUGGUUCGGAACAACACAGGGAAACUUGUGCUAAUACCGGAUAAGCCCUUACGGGGAAAGAUUUAUCGCCGAAAGAUCGGCCCGCGUCUGAUUAGCUUGUUGGUGAGGUAACGGCUCACCAAGGCUACGAUCAGUAGCUGGUCUGAGAGGAUGAUCAGCCACACUGGGACUGAGACACGGCCCAGACUCCUACGGGAGGCAGCAGUGGGGAAUAUUGGACAAUGGGCGCGAAGCCUGAUCCAGCCAUGCCGCGUGAGUGAUGAAGGCCCUAGGGUUGUAAAGCUCUUUUGUGCGGGAAGAUAAUGACGGUACCGCAAGAAUAAGCCCCGGACUAACUUCGUGCCAGCAGCCGC
rnacentral:rRNA from 1 species